UAAAUAUUUCAGCUACAGUAUGUGACAUGGAUGGUGUCAACAGGAGAGUACUUUCCAUCUUGGGGUCAUCUAUGGAGCAUCCAUAUAUAAAUAUAGAAAAUAAAGAAAUUGCAUCAAUUUAUGACACACCACAUUUGCUCAAAUGCUUUAGAAUUAUUAUGUUUCUAAAUAUAACAUUGAAUGCAGUACAGAUAUAAACUCCAGCGUACAGACAGGAAGAGGUAAUGCUAUAUGGGAGCAUAU